AUCAAGAGUUUGAUUAUCUAUAUUAGAUUACUCAUAAAGAUAAUUACUGAACUUAUUGUAAUAAAAUGAAAUAUUUUAUUAUAAUUAAGAACAGUAUUAUGCGAUUGUAAUAAUUUAGAACUAUUAAGAGAUCCAUUCUCAUUAGUAAGUUUGAGUGUUACAUCGCUGAAAUAUUAUUUUAUACGUUCUUUUUUAAUCAGUCAAUAAAAUUUACAUGUAUUUUAACAUUACAAAACGCAAGUCUAUAUAAUACGCAUACAUGAAACAGGCCACAAAACAGCGAAGUUAAUAAUUGUAUCAUGUAGCUUACCCAAGUAUACUAUUUUUGAUAUGAACUUUUUUACGUGUACAAUAUAUUUUUAAUAUAUGUGUAUAUAUAUUUUUUAUGUCUAAAAAACUGAUCAAGAAUAGGAGUGUAAUUAUUUUUUUUAUAGAAACAUGAAAUUGAAUGCAUUAAUCAUGUAGAAUGUAUGGCGGUAAUGCUGUUUAUUAAGAAGUUUUUUAAAUUACAAUUAUGUCUCUGAAAAAUUCGAGUAUGUAUAAAUAUUAGUAAUGUGACAACUGUCUAGAUUUCUCGUAAUACUCUCUCAGCAUGAGUUUGAAUUAUAAUUAAUUUGACAAUAUUUGAUCAAAGAAUGGUUGCUUUUAUAUUCAAAUAUAUGAAGGUCUCGAUUACAUUAUCUUAGUGACUUUGAUUAAGUAAGAAAAUUAAAGGUGAAUCUUUCCAAGAGUUGAGUUUGAAUGAAUAGUGUACUUUUAAAAUCCAUUAGUACUUAAAAUUUCUCUCGACGCUUUGCGACUUAGUGUAAAAAAAUAAAACGUCAAAAUUUCAUACAAACAAAUUUUUUUUUUUUUUGGUAAGUUUUUCAAGAAGAUAUUAAAUAUUUAGACAUCAUUAAAAUAAAUAGUAACGAAUGUAUAAUAUGAUAAAAAUACAAGUACCGUUAAAAAGACACUUAAAUACCUAGUUUUUGGUACCUCUGUAUUCGAUAGAUCUCGAUAUAAUGGUUAUUUUGUAUUUUAUUUGAUAAAGUGUAUUUAGAAGUGAGAUUUUUGAAAGUCACCGCUAAGUCUUAGGUUGGUACCUCUACUUUCAACAGAGCGUAUGAUCAACUGUAGUGAACACUGGCCUAAGGCUCCUAAAACUGCUACAAAUUGCAACAAAACUGGUUCAAAUCAGCAAACAGUGAUUACUUUAAUCGAACAUACGCUUUUUCAAUUAAGUAGGGAUACUAACCUUAGGCUUGGAAGUGACUUACGAAAAUUUAUUAAUAAAAAAAAAAUUUGUUAUUUUGCUUUGUUGAAAUUGUCCAUAGUGACAACCCGUCGCAUGUACCAAGCGUACAAAAAGCAACAAACCAAAAAAAUGUUUUUUUAAUACAAAAACCUAACGUAUAAAAAUUGUGCAGAUGGAAAAAAAAAAAAAUUAUCUGUGAGAUGCGUAAGCUGGCAAUUUUGGCUGGGGCAAAAGACUUGGUCCGCGCGGCUAUCAUCGAUUGUAAUCGUGCUAGACAAGAUGUCAUAUCUAAGUUGUGAAAAGUAGGCGGGGCUUAGGUUAAAGGUCUGGGUAGGGGGGCUCUCUCGCUCCAGCCUGCUCUAUAGAGAGAGGGUGAUUACGCACUGCGCAUGCGGCAAACUCCCGAAAAUCUGGCUCGUACACGAUAAUGUAGUACUUAGUUACUAAAACCAUCUACUUAGGUAGUAAAUUAUGUUUGUCAAUCAAUUACUAAUUAAAAACUUAACUAAAAUGCUAUUUAAUGAUGUAAAUUUUCUAGCGUUCUGUUAUAAAUGUUUAAGAUUAAAAUCAGAAGACUAAUAAUUAAUUAUUUUGUUUACAUAAAUUUUUUUAAAAUUUACUUUAAUUAAAUAUAUCAUAAGCAUACGCAUGAGCACAAAUAUCAGGUGUAUUGAUUGUAUGAGUAUGUAUAUAUAUCAAAGACUUGUUAUCUUUAUCUUCGCAUCGAUUAUACUCCAGUGCUCAAUACGCGUCCAAUAUCAUGAUGCUUACUUUGUUGUGAACUGUACUCGUAAAAGAUCAGGAAUUACAUCUUAGUUUAAAGUUAAAUUACAAUCUACGUAUACAGUAAUUAAAUAUAAUAUUAUAAUUCAAAAUUCAAGAAAAAAAUAAAACCAAUAAUGUGCUGGAAGACAAUAUUG
rnacentral:lncRNA from 1 species